rnacentral:lncRNA from 1 species
UUAUUAUGUAUUUAAUUUUGUUAGUUUUAGCUUACUUAGUUUUUUUUUAAUUUUUUUCAAGUUUGUUGCUAGUUUAUGAGUAGAGUUAUUCUUGAGAAUGAAGAGUAUUAUUUUGAUCCUAAAAUCGAGAGAACCUUGAGAAGGAGAAGAAAAGAAUUACAAGAGGUGACAAGGAUUGGAAAUGAUCCAGGCAAAGAAGAUCCAUUACAUCCGAAUGGUAGGGAUGUUGAUAUUCCUAGUGUGAUAGAUGAU